ACUCAAAGGAAUAGACGGGGGCCCGCACAAGCAGCGGAGCGUGUGGUUUAAUUCGAGGCUACGCGAAGAACCUUACCUGGGUUGGAAGAGUGGGUGGUAGGGAACCGAAAGGGGACCGACCGCAAGGAGCCCACGACGGUGCUGCAUGGCUGUCGUCAGCUCGUGUCGUGAGAUGUACGGUUAAGUCCGCAAACGAGCGCAACCCCCGGGACGUGUUACACGUGUCACGUCCGACUGCCCGUGAGAAACGGGAGGAAGGUGGGGAUGACGUCAAGUCAGCAUGGCCUGUAUGCCCAGGGCGACACACACGCUACAAUGGGCGGUACAAUGGGGAGCGAACCCGCGAGGGGGAGCGGAUCCUGAGAAGCCGUUCGCAGUUCGGAUUGCAGGCUGCAACUCGCCUGCAUGAAGCUGGAGUUGCUAGUAACCGCCGGUCAGCACACGGCGGUGAAUACGUUCCCGGGCCUUGUACACACCGCCCGU
rnacentral:rRNA from 1 species